CCAGGGCAGAGCUUGUCAGUGCUGGGCCAGCGCAAAGGGCCUGUGGCUGGACAGAGGAAGACAGAUGGACAUGUGACCAAACCUGACCAAUGAGACACAGAGCUGUCUGUGGCUACUCUGCCAGGAGACAGGCGAAAGAGAUGCUAAAGCCGGGCAGCUACACCUUGGUCUCUGGGACGCCCUGGCCACCAGUGACCAGGCGGGGACAGACAGUUACAUGACCCAGGCACACAAGCCCAUGCCGACGCUGCUGGAGAAGGGGGGACGCCCUGCUGCUCAAGAAUAUGAGCCCAGAACUGCUGGGGCCACCUGACAACUGAGUGGAGGAACCUGUUGCAAAUACAUGCAGAGAAGCAGAGUGAGAUAUGGGGACACGACACUGACGGCACCUUCCGGCUCUGGAUACAGCUUGGCCUGAAGCUAACACAUUUUUUAGUUCCAUAAUUUCUUCUUCCUUUUUUUUUUGCUUAAAUUGUACAUUCUGUCCCCUCCAAUCCAAAUAAUCCUGACUCUUGUGACAAUAAAGAUAGAAUAACAAAC